rnacentral:rRNA from 1 species
UACGGGGGGGGCAAGCGUUGUUCGGAAUUACUGGGCGUAAAGGGCUCGUAGGCGGCCAACUAAGUCAGACGUGAAAUCCCUCGGCUUAACCGGGGAACUGCGUCUGAUACUGGAUGGCUUGAGGUUGGGAGAGGGAUGCGGAAUUCCAGGUGUAGCGGUGAAAUGCGUAGAUAUCUGGAGGAACACCGGUGGCGAAGGCGGGUCUCUGGGCCGAUACUGACGCUGAGGCACGAAAGCGUGGGGAGCAAACAGG